rnacentral:lncRNA from 1 species
AACCAACAACCAUAACAAAGAUAAAAUAAUAACCAAGUCCAUAUCCAUACCAUAACACACCCAAGUCGACAAUUUUUCCAUACAAAGCCUAUAAACGAAUUUGAGAAUAUUCGGUUGGGAUAAGCCUUUGACUGUAGCCAAAACCAACAUCCAAGUCUAAUCCAAUAAAGAAAUAAGAAGCUAAAAGCAAGAAAGAAAGCCUUCUAAAGUAUGGAAGCUCACCAGUUCAAGUAAACAUAGGUUGUCC